rnacentral:rRNA from 1 species
AGCAGCCGCGGUAAUUCCAGCUCCAAUAGCGUAUAUUAAAGUUGCUGCAGUUAAAAAGCUCGUAGUUGAAUUUCGGGGUUAGUAGGUUGGUCAUGCCCCCUGGUAUGUACUGGUCUCACUGAUUCCUCCUUCCUGAUGAGCCGUAAUGCCAUUAAUUUGGUGUUGCGGGGAAUUUGGACUGUUACUUUGAAAAAAUUAGAGUGUUUAAAGCAAGCUAACGCUUGAAUACAUUAGCAUGGAAUAAUGAAAUAGGACGUUCGAUCCUAUUUUGUUGGUUUCUAGGAUUGACGUAAUGAUUAAUAGGGAUAGUUGGGGGCAUUAGUAUUCAAAUUGUCAGAGGUGAAAAUUCUUGGAUUUAUUGAAGACUAACUACUGCGAAAAGCAUUUGCCAAGGAUGUUUUCAUUAAUCAAGAACGAAAAGUUAGGGAUCGAAGACGAUCAGAUACCGCCGUAGUACUUAACCAUAAAACUAUAGCCGACUAGGGAUCGGGAUGAUGUUUAAAUUUUUAAAUGUACUACAUUUACGGCGACCCGUUACGGGUAAAAACCC